AGCGAACGCUGGCGGCAGGCUUAACACAUGCAAGUCGAACGCCCCGCAAGGGGAGUGGCAGACGGGUGAGUAACACGUGGGAACGUACCCUUUGGUUCGGAAUAACUUGGGGAAGCUCAAGCUAAUACGGGAUAAGCCCUUAUGGGGAAAGGUUUACUGCCGAAGGAUCGGCCCGCGUCUGAUUAGCUAGUUGGUGAGGUAACGGCUCACCAAGGCGACGAUCAGUAGCUGGUCUGAGAGGAUGAUCAGCCACACUGGGACUGCGACACGGCCCAGACUCCUACGGGAGGCAGCAGUGGGGAAUAUUGGACAAUGGGGGCAACCCUGAUCCAGCCAUGCCGCGUGAGUGAUGAAGGCCUUAGGGUUGUAAAGCUCUUUUACCCGGGACGAUAAUGACUGUACCGGGAGAAUAAGCCCCGGCUAACUUCGUGCCAGCAGCCGCCGUAA
rnacentral:rRNA from 1 species